CACAGUGUGAAGCCCCAACAGAGAGCUUCUACUAGGACAAUACCAAGCAAAAAUGUGAGGCCUGUUAGAUUAUGUUUUGCCUAAAGCUGCCUCCUUACAUAUUUUAAGUUUGGGCUAAAUGUUUCUCUGUAUAUCAUGAACUAUAGCCUACAUGUAAGUGUAAGCAAACUGUAGCCUACUCUUGUGUCAAUCAUCAAGUUUUGGUCAGUCAAACGUGGCCAGAAGUUUGAAAUUUGUUCAAAUAAGGCAAAAGCCUAGCUAUAACCAAUCCAGCUGUUUCUGUACCUCACUUCCAUUUUCUAUACAUCAUGAUUCUUUAUCUCUCCAUAAAUCUUCUUUUACCAUGGAGCUGUGCUGCAGUCUCUUAACCUACUCUGGCUCAGGAGGCUGCCUGAUUCACAAAUCAUUCAUUGCUCAAUUAAACUCUUUUACAUUUAAUUCAGCUGAAGUUUUUGUUUGUUUGUUUGUUUCUGUUUUAACAGAUGAUGUCAGAAGUGGGAUCCAAAGUAGAGCUUAUAAUGACACCUAGGAGUGCUGAGUGACCAAGCAAGGUACCCACCAGGCCGAUUAUGUCCAUUGUUCUCUUGGAGCAGCUGGUCAUCAUGAACCUGAAGAUCAGAUCUUCUGAGAACAUCAGAAAAAGACUUCCCUUGCCAUCCACACUGCAGCAAAACUUCAGGACCUUAAAUGCUGGGUUCAUAAUUUCACAACUGAGAAGGGACCCUCCACACUCUUGGAACUGUACACCUAGACCAAACUAAAAUACAGUCACUCUUGCUAAAUGUAACAUAAUCAAACUAAGACUUUAAGGAAACAAGCAAAUCCUAGAAAAGACCAGGUUUUUGUAUUUUUUUUCCUCCUGUAAACAGUACCUUCCAACAUAAGGAGGUACCCUCUACUCUAACACUUACAAAAAUAAUAAGAAUAAUAACCUGGAGUCCUUGUAAGGUGAAACCUUACAAAACCCACUGCUCUGCUGUUUCCUAGUGGGUUUCAAGAGGAAAUAAGUACUUUUACAGUGGUGAUGGUGAAAUCAAUGACUAACAUUUUGGUCAAUCUCCCACAAUUUAGAGAAUGACCAAAACGGGGGAAUUGUUAAAUCAAGUUUAUCCUAAAUUGAUGGGAUCAAUCAUACUCCAAACCUUGACACUGCACAAUAUACCCAUGUAACAAACCUACACAUGUACCUCCUGAAUCUAAAAUAAAAGUUGAAAUUCUAAAAAAUGAAAUUAUUCUGGAGCUUUA
rnacentral:lncRNA from 10 species